rnacentral:rRNA from 1 species
AUUGAACGCUGGCGGCAGGCUUAACACAUGCAAGUCGAGCGCGCGGCGGACGGGUGCGUAAUGUCUGGGAAACUGCCUGAUGGAGGGGGAUAACUACUGGAAACGGUAGCUAAUACCGCAUACCAUCGGAUGUGCCCAGAUGGGAUUCGCUAGUAGGUGGGGUAACGGCUCACCUAGGCGACGAUCCCGAGCUGGUCUGAGAGGAGGACCAGCCACACUGGAACUGAGACACGGGCCAGACGCCUACGGGAGGCAGCAGUGGGGAAUAUUGCACAAUGGGCGCAAGCCUGAUACAGCCAUGCCGCGUGUAUGAAGAAGGCCUUCGGGUUGUAAAGUACUUUCAGCGAGGAGGCGUUACUCGCAGAAGAAGCACCGGCUAACUCCGUGCCAGCAGCCGCGGUAAUUC